rnacentral:rRNA from 1 species
AGUGAACGCUGGCGGUAGGCCUAACACAUGCAAGUCGAACGGCAGCACAGUAAGAGCUUGCUCUUACGGGUGGCGAGUGGCGGACGGGUGAGGAAUACAUCGGAAUCUACUUUUUCGUGGGGGAUAACGUAGGGAAACUUACGCUAAUACCGCAUACGACCUACGGGUGAAAGCAGGGGAUCUUCGGACCUUGCGCGAUUGAAUGAGCCGAUGUCGGAUUAGCUAGUUGGCGGGGUAAAGGCCCACCAAGGCGACGAUCCGUAGCUGGUCUGAGAGGAUGAUCAGCCACACUGGAACUGAGACACGGUCCAGACUCCUACGGAAGGCAGCAGUGGGGAAUAUUGGACAAUGGGCGCAAGCCUGAUCCAGCCAUACCGCGUGGGUGAAGAAGGCCUUCGGGUUGUAAAGCCCUUUUGUUGGGAAAGAAAAGCAGCAGGUUAAUACCCCGCUGUUCUGACGGUACCCAAAGAAUAAGCACCGGCUAAUUUCGUG